GGCCGAUGAUGUUAGAAAAUAUUUGCUACUCUUGAUGGAUUUUUAAAAAAAAAAUCCAUUUGAUGAUUUACAUAUCACCAAGAUCUCUGAGGUC
rfam:Beta vulgaris subsp. vulgaris Bvchr1.sca001.con0188.1, whole genome shotgun sequence.